rnacentral:rRNA from 1 species
UGGGGAAUUUUGCACAAUGGGGGAAACCCUGAUGCAGCGACGCCGCGUGAUUUAGAAGGCCUUCGGGUUGUAAAAAUCUUUUCUAUGGGAAGAAAAUGACAGUACCAUAGGAAUAAGUACCGGCUAAUUACGUGCCAGCAGCCGCGGUAAUACGUAAGGUCCGAGCGUUGUCCGGAAUCAUUGGGCGUAAAGGGUACGUAGGCGGGUAAGCAAGUUAGAAGUGAAAUCCUAUAGCUCAACUAUAGUAAGCUUUUAAAACUGCUCAUCUUGAGGGAUGGAAGGGAAAGUGGAAUUCCUAGUGUAGCGGUGAAAUGCGCAGAUAUUAGGAGGAAUAACGAUGGAGAAGGCGAGUUUCUGGCCAUAACCUGACGCUGAGGUACGAAAGCGUGGGUAGCAAACAGG